CUGAUUUGGAAACUGGAGCGUCAACUUUCUCAAUUUUCGUCGUAAAGAGCAGAAAACUUAGUAAUGAACAUUUCCACAAGGGGCUUUUGUUUUCAGAUUGAUUUGCUCAUUGGACAAAGUAUCCUAGGGAAAUGUGCCCCUGCGAAGUUGGUGGUGAUUGUGGUGGUGGAGCUAACAACAUGUGUGCAGAAACUCUUCUGAAUGGGACUUCCCUGAUCCUGUUUUCACCUGAUCUUCGUGCUCAAUAGAAAAAGCCUCAGCUGUGGAAUCAGCUUCCCAGUGAACACCGAGAGUUGAGUUUAGCAACUGUUUGGACUGGCCAUGUAACAGGGCCGUCCAGGUAGCAUGGCAUGGUACUGGAACACUAUGUCUUCUCUCUGACCUCUCGGAAUAGCUCUGUGAUUUAAUGUGUUGGCCACUGGAGGCCCUGGGUGAGUAUGACACCCGGGCCAGAGGCCCACUGUCUUCUUCCUUUCCCACUGAGCUUAGUUGUAUUUAGCACCGGUGAAACAAAAUGAAAACACCCAGUCUCUGCUCCCCUUGAGUUGCUCUUGUUAAAAAAAAUUUUAAGAAAAGAUGCAUUAUAAUUACCUAGAGGAACACAACUCAGUGCUUAGACCAUUCAUACCUUCAAAAGUACUCUUUUCUAAAUCACACUUUUUUUCUGUUAAAUCUAUUAGUGAUUCUGCCUUUUAGAAUUGUUAAAGUUUAUUGUCACUCUGUAUAACCCCACUUUUUUUGUUGUUAAGGAGCACUAAUUUCUUUAAAUUUCUUCAGUCAGACAUGGGCUGUUUUUAUCCUCUGAAAUACUAAAAUUGUCACAUUCAGUGCUUCAAGCCAAAGUCAGUAAAGAGAAAUAAUGUAAUCUGCACAAUAUUUUAAAUGAAGAAAUACAUAUGAUUGAUUUAAUCACAGGUAAUGUAUAAAGCUCUCCUGUAAAGAAAUAUCACCACUUGCCUAUCUCUUUACUGGAUUUUGUAGAAGAUACAAAGUAAAACAAAUAAGCAUUCAUGUAAUUUUUUUUUUUUUUUUU